rnacentral:rRNA from 1 species
AUUGAACGCUGGCGGCAGGCCUAACACAUGCAAGUCGAACGAGUGGCGGACGGGUGAGUAAUGUCUGGGAAACUGCCUGAUGGAGGGGGAUAACUACUGGAAACGGUAGCUAAUACCGCAUACCAUCGGAUGUGCCCAGAUGGGAUUAGCGAGUAGUGGGGGUAACGGCGCACCUAGGCGACGAUCCCUAGCUGGUCUGAGAGGAUGACCAGCCACACUGGAACUGAGACACGGUCCAGACUCCUACGGGAGGCAGCAGUGGGGAAUAGUGCACAAUGGGCGCAAGCCUGAUGCAGCCAUGCCGCGUGUAUGAAGAAGGCCUUAGGGUUGUAAAGUACUUUCAGCGGGGAGGCGUUACCCGCAGAAGAAGCACCGGCUAACUCCGUGCCAGCAGCCGCGGUAAUUC